CUGCAAUCGAGGAGGGAAAACGACUCGCGCCCCGAACAGGCUGCAGCGCCCACGGUGUGUCUCAUACGCAUCUCUCUUGCGGGAUGGAGGGGCAGUGAGAACGAUGCCGGCAUGCGGUGUAGCACAUUGGACAGCGGCUGUUCGAGAGCGCGCCGGCGUGCCCGGAUCCGACGAGACAACACAAGGCCGUCUUUGCCGGAUGCAUGCAUCUAGACUCAUGAAUACACUACAGGAUGCCACUUAAUAGUAGAUUAAAAAAUCUUGUUGAAACAUGGCGCCCCCACAACGAGCUUGAACAACACGGCGCCAAAUGUAUGCUUACGACAACGAUGACAGCAGUGAAGUAGCCAGAUAAAAUUUGAAACGUUAAAUAGCCUUAGAAUAUGUGGAUGUCGUCAAAAGUAUGGAAGUAAGCAGCCUUCGCGUCAUACUUCGUUAGAAACCGUCUGGUCAAUUUCAGAGCCGUGCGUCAUGUCUUGACAACCAUGGUGACUUAUUGCCCA
rnacentral:misc_RNA from 1 species